GCUAGCUACAGGCUUAACACAUGCAAGUCGAGGGGCAGCAUGGUCUUAGCUUGCUAAGGCCGAUGGCGACCGGCGCACGGGUGAGUAACACGUAUCCAACCUGCCGUCUACUCUUGGACAGCCUUCUGAAAGGAAGAUUAAUACAAGAUGGCAUCAUGAGUUCGCAUGUUCACAUGAUUAAAGGUAUUCCGGUAGACGAUGGGGAUGCGUUCCAUUAGAUAGUAAGCGGGGUAACGGCCCACCUAGUCUUCGAUGGAUAGGGGUUCUGAGAGGAAGGUCCCCCACAUUGGAACUGAGACACGGUCCAAACUCCUACGGGAGGCAGCAGUGACGAAUAUUGGUCAAUGGGCGCAGGCCUGAACCAACCAAGUAGCGUGAAGGAUGACUGCCCUAUGGGUUGUAAACUUCUUUUAUAAAGGAAUAAAGUCGGGUAUGUAUACCCGUUUGCAUGUACUUUAUGAAUAACGAUCGGCUAACUCCGUGCCAGCAGCCGCGGUAAUACGGAGGAUCCGGAGCGUUAUCCGGAUUUAUUGCGUUUAAAGGGAGCGUAUAUGGAUGUUUAAGUCAGUUGUGAAAAUUUGCGGCUCAACCGUAAAAUUGCACUUGAUACUGGAUAUCUUGAGUGCAUUUGACGCAGGCGGAAUUCGUGGAGUAGCGGUGAAAUGCUUAUAUAUCACGAAGAACUCCGAUUGCGUAUGCAGCCUGCUAAGCUGCAACUGACAUUG
rnacentral:rRNA from 1 species